CCGGCCGAGCCCCAAAUCUCGCGUGAAUUAACGUGAACAAAACCGAAUCGAAAACGAGCACAAACAACCGAGAACACGGUGUCCGUCAGAAGAGGACAUACGAGAGAAAGUAAUGAAACCCUGAAAAAAGACGGACUGUAUAAUUGACUCCAUAAUAUCCAGGAUCAACUGGGCGAAAGAGCAGAGGAGACCCAAUACAUGAGGUUCAUGCAGGAUGACGUCACGAGAAGAAGGAAGACGCCAUUGUUGGUCAGAUGUUUCAAGUCACUGAGAUUCCUUCUUGCUUCUUCUCCUUUUGUUCCUCCGUCUGACCGCGUCCGUCUCACCUGGCCGGCUCGGGUGGUCCGCCUUCUCUUGCUCCAUGGCCGACGUCUUCUUCAAGGUGAGCUCCAGAUCCUUCAGUAUGCCGAGCAGGUCCUCAUCUGGGACGCCCAAGUGGAUCCCACCUGCUUCCUCCUCAUCCUCCUGCUUCAGGUCAGCUGCAGCCUCGUCCUGAGGAGCGUGUUGACAACAGCAGCCAGGACGCGCACACAUCACCUCUUCUUCAGGCUCUGAGCUCUCUGCAGGUCAUUCACCAGGACGGUCCCCCCGUGUAGUUCUGGUAUUUUUGCUCACCUUUCUCAUGAUCAUUUUGACCCCACGGGAUGAGAUUUUGCGUGGAGCCCCAGAUCGAGGGAGAUUAUCAGUGGUCUUAUUCACUCUUCCCAGUCUGGUGCAGGUCUACAAUUCUUUUCCUGGUGUCCUUCGACAGCUCUUUGGUCUUGGCCAUAGUGGAGUUUGGAGUCCGACUGUUUGAGCCUGUGGACAGGUGUCUUUUAUACAGAUAACGAGUGGAGGACAGAAGAGCUUCCUAAAGAAGUUACAGCUCUGUGAGAGCCAGAGAUCUUGUUUGAAGUGACCAAAUACUUAUUUUCCACCAUAAUUUACAAAUAAAUUCUUUAAAAUUCCUACAAUGUGAAUUCCUGGAUUUUUUUUUUCACAUUCUGUCUCUCACAGUUGAAGUGUACCUAUGAUGAAAAUUACAGACCUCUGUCAUCAUUUUAAGCGGGAGAACUUGCACAAUCGGUGGCUGACUAAAU